CUCCGUUCUAACCGGUCAGUAACUGCUGGUGAAGACUGAGGCAACGGUUCACUUUUCGAUGAGGAGGUAAUGGAGAAAUGAUUUAAAUGAAGAUGGACUCUGCUAGGGUGUGGAUCACUUGGAAAGACGAGUGAUUGAAAAGACACUAUGAUUCCUGCAGACUUCCUCACCCAUUUCUGUCAGCUUUACUUGAUAUGUAUAUAAUUGCGUUUAAUAAAUAAAACUUGGAUUUGAA